rnacentral:other from 1 species
GGAUUUCUGCGCGGUGCGUGGUUCGCUUAAAACCCCGGGGCCGAUAAAGAUCUCCUGGGAGCUGUCCCUGAUCCGGACCGUGGUCUGGAUCACACGGCGCCCACCUGCUUAUGCGGGCCUUGGAGGUUUCACGUUAUCACGGCCUAUCGUGGAGCCGCC